rnacentral:rRNA from 1 species
AGGGUUCGACUCCGGAGAAGGGGCCUGAGAAAUGGCCACUACGUCUAAGGAUGGCAGCAGGCGCGCAAAUUACCCACUCUCAACGCGAGGAGGUAGUGACGAGAAAUAACGAGACCGAUCUCUUAUGAGGCCGGUCAUCGGAAUGGGUACAAUUUAAACCCUUUAACGAGUAUCUAUGAGAGGGCAAGUCUGGUGCCAGCAGCCGCGGUAAUUCCAGCUCUCAAAAUGCAUAGAAUUAUUGCUGCGGUUAAAAAGCUCGUAGUUGGAUCUGUGCUAGCCGUCCGGUGCACACUUUGUGUGUUACUGGUUUGGUUGGCUUUUCUGCCGGUCUUUCCCCGGCGUUGGCCUUUACCGGUCGGCGUCGGUGGGCUGGCGAGUUUACUUUGAACAAAUCAGAGUGCUUCAAACAGGCGUUUCGCUUGAAUGUUCGUGCAUGGAAUAAUAGAAGAGGAUUUCGGUCCGAUUUUAUUGGUUUUGCUGACCGAGAUAAUGGUUAACAGAGACAAACGGGGCCAUUCGUAUUGCUACGUGAGAGGUGAAAUUCUUGGACCGUAGCAAGACGGACUACAGCGAAAGCAUUUGGCAAGAAUGUCUUCAUUAAUCAAGAACGAAAGUCAGAGGUUCGAAGGCGAUCAGAUACCGCCCUAGUUCUGACCGUAAACGAUGCCAACUAGCGAUCCGCCGGCGGAUUUAUUCGCCCUGGUGGGGAGCUUCCCGGAAACGAAAGUCUUCCGGUUCCGGGGGAAGUAUGGUUGCAAAGCUGAAACUUAAAGGAAUUGACGGAAGGGCACCACCAGGAGUGGAGCCUGCGGCUUAAUUUGACUCAACACGGGGAAACUCACCCGGCCCGGACACCGUAAGGAUUGACAGAUUGAUAGCUUUUUCAUGAUUCGGUGGAUGGUGGUGCAUGGCCGUUCUUAGUUCGUGGAGCGAUUUGUCUGGUUUAUUCCGAUAACGAGCGAGACUCUAGCCUACUAAAUAGUUGGCUCAUUGCUUCUGUGGGCACAACUUCUUAGAGGGAUUUUCGGUGUUCAGCCGCACGAAAUUGAGCAAUAACAGGUCUGUGAUGCCCUUAGAUGUCCGGGGCUGCACGCGCGCUACACUGGCAAAAUCAGCGUGCUUGUCCUUCCCCGAAAGGGGUUGGUAAACCGGUGAAAAUUUGCCGUGAUUGGGAUCGGACAUUGCAAUUAUUGUCCGUGAACGAGGAAUUCCUUGUAGGGGCGAGUCAUCAACUCGCUCUGAAUACGUCCCUGCCCUUUGUACACACCGCCCGUCGCUGCCCGGGACUGAGCCAUUUCGAGAAAUUCGGGGACGGUUAGUGUUCCGGCUUCGGUCGGUAUGCAGACUGGAACCG